UUUAAAGAGUGAAUUAGAUUAGCCAUCCCAAAACCAUCAUCUUUGUUUCUUCUCUUCAUCCUUAAUAAUCCCAUGGCGAUCCUAGCUCUUCUCACGCUCUCUCCCUAAAACCCUAAUUUUGGGUUCUACAUUCUCACGUUCCUUCCUUACUGCCACCGGAACCGCCGUAUCAGCCUCUUCUCGCUCAUCUUUCUCCCUUCUGCGCCGCCUCCUUCCCCUCGCUGCUAUAGUCGCCGCUGAUUUCGGGUUUCUCUCUUCUGCCAUGAGCGUGAGGGACUUUUCUACGUCUGACCCGAAACCUAAGUACUCUAACGACCCACCCACAUUUUCGGAUUAUGGCUGUGAUUUCGAACACUGGCUCGUUGUCAUGGAUUUGCCAAGGGCUAAACUCACGAGGGAUGAGAUGAUCAACAUCUAUAUCAAAACCCUUGCCAUGGUUGUUGGAAGAGCUGCCUAAGGUCCAAGUGGUCUUUUCUGAUAGAUACAUUGAUAUUGAAAACAAAAACUAUAGAGGGGAGCCCUUUAUAAACGGACAAGCUGUUCCAUAUGACCUCAAGUACCAUCAGCAGUACUAUAAACGAAUUAAUAGACUCGAUCGGCCAUGCGAAGCAUGUAAGCUCCUAUUUGGAGGAAUUGAACUUUCACAUAUUAGACUUUGGAGCGAUUCGGAGGAGUUAGACUAAAGAGAUGUUAGACUUUAAAUAUUGCAUAUUCUUAUUCCGAGUAGUUUCUUCUAAUUUUAUUUUAUUUUAUUUUUAAUUUUACUAUAGCUCUUUUAAUUAUGAAAUUUCUAUUUUAUCAUUUAAAUUAUUUAAUUUUUCU